rnacentral:lncRNA from 1 species
CGACAUAUUCUAGAUUUUAGAUCUAGUAUUUACUAAUUCCCCACCUAACUGCAGUCAAUAACUUGAAUUAUUAAUGAAGAGGGAGGCAUGAUAAUUACAUAAAAUAUCUAGGGUGCGUGACCUUUUGCAAAUGAAGCUUAUCGUCCAAGUAUUAGAGGACUUGAGAAGAGCUCAGCGUUGCUUUUGCCCAACAGAGGAGGAUCUAGAUGCCUGAGCUUGGACAUCCAAUCCAACAGCUUCGUUUACUUCGUCAUUGACUUGGUUUUUGGCAGAGGAUCUAGGUUAUUCCUGGAAAUUUUAUAGCAAGAGAUGAAUUGAGUAGCAGAAUUGUGAGAUCGUGUAGUAACAGAUAACGGAAAUGAACAGGAUGCCCUGCUGCAGAAUAAAGCAUAUCUAUGAGGCGCACCUUCUUAACGACCCUUGAGAUAGAAAGGGGACGCAGCAGCUAAGCGUGAACACAGAUCUUAACAUCCACCAUGUUAAGGCCGUCCGCAAGAAUGCAUACC